AUGGUCGUCAUUCAUCCUACCCACUCCAUUCCUUCUUUAAAACAUGCAUCACCCAUCCCGUUUCUCACCUCUCAUACUCAAUUCCUGCAGUCAAGUUUCACGAGAGCAACAACAUACACCACCAAUUCGAGAAAAAUGAAAUUGGAGCAUUGAGGCAGUUAGGGCAGCCAAUUUGACAGCUGAAGUUAGAGAAAGACGGUGUACAAGUACCAAAAGCCAUACAUGAUUUGAUACCAUUAUCCACAUAUAUUGAGGGAUGAAGUGCAUCAACCAUCCAUCUCCAGCAUUAUCAGUUAGAAACAAACACAAAAUCUGGCCUCGUAGAUUAGAACUCAACGGUAACAGCUUCUCCUUACGCAGCAGGGCGCUACCUUGUACUUUUCUUGCAGCUACUGCUCCCCCCGCUGCCAAGUUGUCGGUUCUUCUUCAGACAGGUGGUGUUUGCCUAGUUGCGUAUUGGGUUGCAAAUUUCGUGGUACCGGGAUUCAUUCUUAAGGACCUCCAAUCCAAAGACAAAGCAGACGAGAAUCCAAGCGAAGAUGAAGGCUGAACCAUACUAAUUCAUCAGCUAUUGGGUUGCUCUCCUUCACUAUAAUAAUGAUCACAUGAAAUUUAUCAAAUUUUGCAAUCAUGAGCUAGAUGUAUGUGUAUUAAUUAUGCUUAGAAUCUCUUCAAUUCUUAUUUUGUAUUAAAUACUUUGUACUGGGUAAGUCGAGAUUCAUAUAUAAACUGUAUGCAAAUGUGGAAAUGGUAUCAUUGGAUUACAUA